UACGUAGGGGGCAAGCGUUGUCCGGAUUUAUUGGGCGUAAAGAGCGUGUAGGCGGCUUUACAGGUCCGUUGUGAAAACUCGAGGCUCAACCUCGAGACGCCGGUGGAAACCGUAAGGCUAGAGUCCGGAAGAGGAGAGUGGAAUUCCUGGUGUAGCGGUGAAAUGCGCAGAUAUCAGGAAGAACACCCGUGGCGAAGGCGGCUCUCUGGGACGGUACUGACGCUGAGACGCGAAAGCGUGGGGAGCGAACAGGG
rnacentral:rRNA from 1 species